GAUCAUGGCUCAGGAUGAACGCUAGCGACAGGCUUAACACAUGCAAGUCGGAGGGGCAGCGAGGGAGUGGCAACACUUCCGUCGGCGACCGGCGCACGGGUGAGUAACGCGUAUGCAACCUGCCCUUCACGAGGGGGAUAACCGGGAGAAAUUCCGACUAAUACCGCAUACGUCCGUCCGGGGGCACGUCCCCGGGGGGAUGAAAGAAUUAUCGGUGAAGGAUGGGCAUGCGUGAUAUUAGGUAGUUGGCGGGGACG
rnacentral:rRNA from 1 species